CCUACGGGAGGCAGCAGUGAGGAAUAUUGGUCAAUGGACGAGAGUCUGAACCAGCCAAGUAGCGUGAAGGAUGACUGCCCUAUGGGUUGUAAACUUCUUUUAUAAAGGAAUAAAACGAGGCACGUGUGCCUUUUUGCAUGUACUUUAUGAAUAAGGAUCGGCUAACUCCGUGCCAGCAGCCGCGGUAAUACGGAGGAUCCGAGCGUUAUCCGGAUUUAUUGGGUUUAAAGGGAGCGUAGAUGGGUUGUUAAGUCAGUUGUGAAAGUUUGCGGCUCAACCGUAAAAUUGCAAUUGAUACUGGCAGUCGUGAGUACAGUUGAGGUAGGAGGAAUUCGUGGUGUAGCGGUGAAAUGCUUAGAUAUCACGAAGAACCCCGAUUGCGAAGGCAGCUUACUAAACUGUGACUGACAUUGAUGCUCGAAAGUGUGGGUAUCAAACAGGAUUAGAUACCCGGGUAGUC
rnacentral:rRNA from 1 species